rnacentral:lncRNA from 1 species
AGCAAUGGAAAGGCUAGCAAAGGAAAUGGUGGACAAGUGUGGAGGUUUACCUCUUGCAGUUGUUGUAUUAAGCGGACUACUUUCACAUAAAAGGGGGUUCGAAGAAUGGCAAAAGGUGAAGGACCACCUUUGGCAAAACAUUAAAGACGACUCUAUUGAAGUCUCCUGCAUACUAUCAUUGAGCUACAACGAUUUGUCAAUUGCGCUCAAGCAGUGUUUCCUGUACUUUGGUAUUAUUCCAGAAGAUCACGUGGUCCAUGUUGAUCACAUAUUAUGGUUGUGGAUGGCUGAAGGAUUUGUACCAACAGGAAAAGAAAUAAUGGAGGAUGUUGUUGAAGGCUUCUUGAAUGAGUUGAUAAGAAGAAGCUUGAUACAAGUGGUACGCACAUUUUGGGAAAAAGUUGGUAAUUGUAGGAUUCAUGAUCUGCUUCGCGAUCUUGCCGUACAAAAAGCAUUGGAGGUAAACUUUUUUGACAUUUAUGAUCCAAGAAAGCACUCCAUAUCCUCCUUGUGUCUUAGACAUGCCAUUCAUAGUCAAGGAAAAAGGUAUCUCUCACUUGAUCUUUCUAACUUGAAGGUUAGGUCACUUAUGUUCCUUGAUACGGAAUUUUUAAAGAUGGGUCUUAUAAAGUUCCAUAAUGUGUUCCAACAUCUAUAUGUGUUGUACUUGGAGAUGCGUGUUGACAAUGUCUAUAGUACCUGAUGCCAUAGGAAGUUUGUACCACCUCAAGUUCUUAAGAUUGAGAGGUAUCUAUGAUCUUCCCUCUUCCAUUGGCAACCUCAAGAAUUUACAGACACUUCUUGUCAAUGACUAUGGAUACUUUUGCCAACUACCCCGCGAGACAGCUGACUUGAUAAAUUUAAGACAUUUAGUUGCUUCGUAUUCAAUACCUCUGAAAUGUAUAAGGAAACUCACUAGUCUUCAAGUUCUUAAAGGCAUCCAUUGUGAUCAGUGGAAAGAUGUUGACCCUGUUGAUUUAGUCAAUCUUCGAGAAUUAAGCAUGCAUGAGAUUACCAAAACUUACUCACUGAACAACAUUAGCAGCUUGAAAAACCUUAGCACUCUAAAAUUGUGCUGUGUAGCUUAUGAAUCAUUCCCAAACCUUGAAUAUCUUAGUUCUUGUCAAAACCUUCAGAAAUUGUGGUUAGAGGGGCAAAUAGAAAAACUGCCUCUCUCAGAGCAGUUUCCGAAUUCCAUCGCCAUGAUGGUCCUUCGGUACUCAGAACUCAUGGAAGAUCCCAUGUCUACUCUAGGGAUGCUGCCAAAUCUAAGGAAUCUCGAUUUGUUUAGAGCUUACGGAGGAAAAGAAAUUACUGCAUUGAUAACAACUUCAGUCAACUGGAGAUCCUUCGUCUUGAUUGUCUUGAGAACUUAGAAAGGUGGCAUUUAGCCACAAGUGCCAUGCCUCUGAUUAAAGGUCUUGGUAUCCAGCGUUGUCCAAAGCUACAUGAGAUUCCCGAUAGAAUCAAAGACGUAGAGAGAACUCCUUUUCAAUGAAGCUUUUCAAGCAUAUGUGAUGUCCUAUUUCAGCUCUUUCAUAAUCGUAGAGGUAAUAAAUCCCAAUCCCCAAUGAUCAUUUCUUUAAUUCCUUUUAAUUACUCACUCUGCCACAGAUUUGUUAGUAUAAUGUUUAAUUUUUAUACUAUGACAGUACAACUUUUAAUACAUUAUCAACAUACUAAAAGAAGUCAACUAUAAAUAAUUGUCUAUAAGUAAAUCACUUAUGCAUGAGAUUUUGUCUUGUAUCCCAACAACAACAUACCCAGUACUGUAUUCCAACAGAAUGAGUUCUGGGGGGUAGAGUGUACGCGAACCUUACAUCCACCUCAAAGGUCAGGUAGAGAGACUAUUUCUGAUAAACUCUCGGCUCAAGACAAAAACAGACUAGAAAAAGACAUAAUGGAAGUAGAAGAGACAAUAGGUAGUAACAAAACAACAGAUGAAAGCAGAACAGUACUACAACCAAAUAAUAUUACAAUCAAACUAUGAUUAAUCAUCAAUUUAGGUUAUUGAUAAAUCUUUUGUUCUUUAUUGAAUACUAUUCCUCAUAUUAAAUAGUGUCUUACAAUUUUGUGAAUAGGAGAAGCAACAGCUGGCAGGUGUGGAACUUUUGCCAAGCAGUUCAAGAGAUUUACAUGCAGCAAGUCAGAUUUUAGAAAUAAUAAGCAUGUUUUAUUUUUUUUUGGCUUUAGGUCAUGUGUUUAAAUUAUAAGUGUGACGUUCAAGAUUUUUUUUAAAAAAUCUCCUUGUAUAAAUUUCUUGAAUCUUGUCAAAUUUAAUAAAUCUCCACCUUGGCAAGAUUCUCCAUUUUCAACUUUCUCUCAACAACUUUUGAUUGUGUCUUCAACCUUAAUCUUCAAUGUUCAACAAUGUUGAUCAAGUUCAAACAAUGUUGAAACUUGACCGCAGUAACCACUUUUGUCAGCAUAUCGGCAGGAUUAUCCGUAGUAUGAAUUUUCUACACUGUGACUCCACCUUCUUCUAUGAUGUCUCGUAUGAAAUGAUAUCGGACAUCAAUGUGCUUCGUCCUUGCAUGAUAAACUUGGUUCUUUGCUAAUUGAAUAGCACUUUGACUAUCACAAAAUAUUGUGAUUCCUUCUUGUCCAAUACCAAGCUCUCUAAGCAAUCCUUGAAGCCAAAUUGCCCCUUUGCAGCCUCUGUAAUUGCCAUAUACUCUGCCUCAGUGGUAGACAAAGCAACUCUUGACUGCAAAGUAGGCUUCCAACUAACUGGUGCGUUUGCAAUAGUGAAAACAUAACCAGUAGUUGAUCUUCGUUUGUCCAAAUCACCUGCAUAAUCUGAGUCACAAUAUCCAACAAGAUAUUGACUAUCUUUAUGCUCAUAAACCAAGUCAAUAUCUACAGUAUUAUGAAUAUACCGUAGAAUUCAUUUUACAGCCUGCCAAUGAUCCUUUCCAGGAUUAUGCAUAUACCUGCUUACAACUCCAACAGCGUGUGAAAUAUCUGGCCUUGUGCAAACCAUUGCAUACAUCAAGCUACCAACAACAUUCGCAUAUGGUACUUUUGACAUAUAUUCUUGUGCAACUUCACUCUUUGGCGACAUAGCAUCACUAAGCUUAAAAUGAGGAGCAAGCGGAGUGCUAACCGACUUCGUUUUCUCAUUCAUGCCAAAUCGAUUUAGUACCCUCUUCAAAUAUUCUUUCUGAGAUAAAAAAAAGCUUCUUUGAAUGACGAUCUCUUUUUAUCUCCUUGCCAAGAAUCCUCUUUGCCUCGCCCAAAUCAUUCAUCUCAAACUCCUUUUUUUGUUGAAUCUUUAGCUUCUCAAUUUCCUCUUGACUUUUAGAAGCUAUCAACAUAUCAUCAACAUAUAGGAGAAGAUAGAUAAAGGAAUCGUCUUCAAGCUUGCGCAAAUACACACAAUGAUCGUAUUUGUUUCUUAUGUACCUUUGCUGCAACAUAAACUUGUCAAAUCGUUUGUACCAUUGUCUAGAAGAUUGUUUCAAUCCAUACAACGAUUUUUCAAGUUUGCACACCAUAUUUUCUUUUCCAUCAACUUUGAAUCCUUCUGGCUGAGUCAUGUAGAUUUCCUCUUCCAAGUCUCCAUGUAAAAAUGCAGUUUUUACAUCCAACUGAACUAGUUCAAAAUUCAACUGUGCUACCAAAGCCAACAAAACUCUAAUGGAGGAGUUUUUCACAAUUGGAGAAAAUACCUCAUUAUAGUCAAUUCCCUCCUUUUGAGUGUAUCCUUUGGCCACCAAUCUUGCUUUGUAGCGAACAUCUUCUUGGUUAGGAAAUCCUUCUUUCUUUGCAAAUACCCAUUUGCACCCAAUUGCUUUCUUGCCAUCCGGGAGAUUGGCCAAUUUCCAUGCAUGAUUCUGAUGAAAGGACUGCAUUUCUUCAUCUAUGGCAAACCUCCACUUAUCUUCUUCUGAACUUUGGAUUGCAUCUUUAUAAGUGGUAGGAAUGUCAUCCGCUGCAAUUGAGUCCGCACAAGCCACCACAUCUGUGAGUCGAGCAGGUUUUCUUAUUGUCCUUUUUGGCUUGCUGGUUGCUAUUGAUUCAAGUUGUGGUUGAGGUUCUUGAGAUGGAACCUCCCCUUCGACUGGCUCUUCUUCCAGAGGAAACACUUCUAUUGUUUCCUCAUUUGAUCCAUGUUUUAGGAAAAUUAUAUUUCCCUCAAACUCCACCUGCUUUGAAGCACCAUCAGUUUGUUUGACUUCUUCAACUGUUACCUUAUUUGUCAAGGCAGAUUCAUCAAAGGUAACAUCCCUACUGAAAAUAAUUUUUCUUGUCUCUGGACACCAUAAACGAUAUCCUUUGACUCCAGAAGUAAUUCCCAUAAAUAAAGCUUUAUUUGCUCUUGGGUCCAAUUUUGACUCCCUUACAUGAUAAUAUGCAAUUGAGCCAAAUACAUAUAAAGAACCAUAAUCUUCAGCAGGUUUUCCAUACCAUUUUUCUAAUGGUGUCUUCCCACCAAUAGCAGCAGAUGGUAGACGAUUAAUCAGGUGACAUGCAUAAUGUUAUUGUCUCAGCCCAAAAUUCUUUGCCCAAGCCAGCAUUGGACAACAUACACCGAACCUUCUCCAGCAAAGUUCGGUCCAUGCAUUCUUCCACUCCAUUCUGUUGUGGUGUAUUUCUAACGAUGAAAUGUCUGACGAUGCCAUUUUCCUCACAAAUUUUCUGAAAAAGAUCAUUUUUGUAUUCUCCACCAUUGUCUGUGCGAAGACACUUGAUCUUUUUUCCACUUUGAGUUUCUAUCAUCACUUUCCAUUUGAGAAAAAUUCCCAAUACUUCAUCUUUUGUUUUCAUCGUAUACACCCACAAUCUUAGGGAAAAGUCAUCAACAAAGGUUUCAAAAUAGUGUUUCCUACCUAAUAAAUGUGUUUUGGAAGCACCCCAAACAUUUGAAUGAACAUAAUCCAAAAUACCUUUAGUAUUAUGGAUAGUUGUUCCAAAUCAUGGAAAUCUCUCGCAAACGAGACACUUAUGGUAUUACAAAUAUCAAUAGUAAUGCUGGAGAAGGGCCAAGUAAUUAGUCUGCCAUGGUUAGAACAUUGAGGAGAACUACCUCCUAUGUGGAUGACCAGGAUUACAUUUUUGUUGGACUUCAAGAUGUUGUACAAACAUUGUUAGAUGAACUUCUCAAACCAGAGACUCGUUGAAGUGUUGUCUCCAUUUAUUGGCAUGGGCGGAUUAGGCAAGACCACUCUUGCAAGAAACCUCUACAACAAUCCUAAUAUAGUCAAUAGCUUCCCUACACGCGCAUGGAUAUGUGUUUCUCAAGAGUACAACACAAUGGAUCUCCUUAGGAAUAUCAUAAAAUCCAUCCAAGGUUGCACUAAGGAAACUCUAGAUUUGUUGGAAAGGAUAACUGAAAAAGAUCUAGAAAUUUACCUUCGUUAUCUAUUAAAAGAGCACAAAUAUAUACCUUGUGGUGGUUGAUGAUGUAUGGCAGAUAGAAGCAUGGGAGAGUUUGAAAAGAGCAUUUCCGGAUGGCAAGAAUGGCAGCAGAGUCAUUAUUACCACGCGCAAAGAGGAUGUCGCUGAAAGAGCAGACAACAGAGGUUUUGUCCAUAAACUUCGUUUCCUAAGCCAAGAAGAAAGUUGGGAUCUCUUUAGUAGGAAACUACUUGAUGUUCGAACAAUGGUUCCAGAAAUGAAAAGUCUAGCUAAGGAUAUGGUCGAAAAGUGUAGAGGCUUACCUUUUGCAAUUGUUGUAUUGAGCGGACUACUUUUGCAUAAAAAAGAGCUAAAAGAAUGGGAAAAGGUGAAAGAUCACCUUUGGAAGAACAUUAAAGAAGAUAAAUCUAUUGAAAUCUCCAACAUACUAUCCUUAAGCUACAAUGAUUUAUCAACUGCGCUCAAGCAAUAUUUUCUCUACUUUGGUAUUUUUCCACAAGAUCAAGUGCUCGGGGCUGAUAACAUAAAAUGGUUGUGGAUGGCCGAGGGUUUCAUACCCAGAGGAGAAGAAAGAAUGGAGGAUGCCGCAGAAGGCUUCUUGAAUGAACUUAUAAGACGAAGCUUGGUUCAAGUGGCUAAAACAUAUUGGGAAAGAUUUACUGAAUGUAGGGUUCAUGAUUUACUCCAUGAUCUUGCGAUACAAAAGGCAUUGGAGGUAAACUUCUUUGACAUUUAUGAUCCAAGAAGCCACUCCAUAUCCUCUUUAUGUAUCAGACAUGUGAUUCAUAGUGAAGGAGAAAGGUACCUCUCACUUGAUCUUUCUAACUUAAAGUUGAGGUCAAUUAUGUUCUUCGAUCAAAAUUUUCGUAAGAUGAGUCUUAUAAACUUCAGGAGUGUGUUCCAACAUCUAUAUGUGUGUCUAUAGUACCUGAUGCCAUAGGAAGUUUGUACCACCUCAAGUUCUUAAGAUUGAGAGGCAUCCAAGGUCUUCCCUCUUCCAUUCGCAACCUUAAGAAUUUACAGACACUGUAUGUCAAUGACGACAUACAGUAUUGUGAACUACCCCAUGAGACAACUGACCUAAUAAAUCUAAGACAUUUAGUUUCCCUGUAUUCAAAACCUCUGGAACAUAUAAGCAAACUCACUAGUCUUCAAGUUCUUCAAAACAUCUGUUGUGAUCAAUGGAAAAAUGUUGACCCUGUUGAUUUAGUCAAUCUUCGAAAAUUAAGCAUGCAUGAUAUUACCAAAUCUUACUCCCUAAACAACAUUAGCACCUUGAAAAACCUUAGCACUCUCAGAUUGUUGUGUUGUGCUGAUGAAUCAUUCCCAUCUCUUGAAUUUGUUAAUUGUAGUGAAAAGCUCCAGAAAUUGAGGUUAGAAGGGAGAAUAGAGAAACUGCCUCAUCUGUUUCCAAAUUCCAUCACAACGAUGGUUCUGAGGUUCUCAGUACUGACAGAAGAUCUGAUGCCUAUUUGGGAAUAUUGCCAAAACCUGAGGAAUCUCGAUUUGCUUAGAGCUUAUGAAGGAAAAGAAAUAAUGUGCAGUGAUAACAGCUUCAGUCAACUAGAGUUCCUUCGUCUUUAUGAUCUUGAGAAGCUAGAAAGAUGGGAUUUAGGCACAAGUGCCAUGCCUCUGAUUAAAGGUCUUGGUAUCCAUGACUGUCCAAAUUUAAAGGAGAUUCCUGAGAGAAUGAAAGACGUGGAGUUGUUGAAGAGGAAUUAUACGUGGUGAAGCUUUUGAAGCAUAUAUCAUGUCUUAUUUUGGCCUCAUAAUCGUAGAUUUUAGUGUUUCUGCCAAGCACUUGAAGACAUUGGUUAUUUCAGGGCUGUCAAUGAGAGUGGUUUUAGUGUUUGAUUUCUUAUUGUUUUAAGCUUUUUGAGUGAGUGUAAUUGGUUUGAAGAUAGUUGUUUUUGGCAAAAAUGAUUUUGUGAUGUUUUAAUUAAUUGUCUACUGUAUGUUCCCCUACUUAGCCACAUUUAAGACAAUGCUUUAUAUGUUAAAAUGUGUUGGUGUAAUAUACCCUAAAUAUAAUAAGUAAAUAAAAUGACAAAAAAUGCAUAAACAAAUCUUUAGGCUGAGGCACGGAUAUCUCGCUCUCUUUAAGGAGAUUCAAGCCCACUGCAGCAUAAUCUACACCGAUCCAGCAGUAUCACUCUUGACUUGUCCCCUCUAGGAUACAACAGCCCAACAAUGUGUACAACUCAAGCAACUCCGGAUUAGUUAAAGAGUCCAAAGCUCCACAUAAGAACACUUUCCUUCAACAUAUAAAUACUCUCUUGUCUAUAGUGAAUAUAGUUGAAGACUUAGAAUAUUUUUCUAUGUCUCAACUCUCUCUUUCACUAUUACACACUACAAUAUUACUUCACACUUCUCAUCUUUUUGAGAUACUUCACAAAGGAAGAAACACAACUAUUUAUAGGUGAAGAAGUCUCCCAUAUAAUCAAUAGGUAGAAUGAGGGGUAGUAAUGUGGCUGGAUAAAUGUGAUAGAUGUUACAUGAGUUACAAGAAACUAAUGGUCAUAUGAGUUACAAGAAACUAAUGACCAUGAUAGUUACAAGAACUAAUGGCCAUAUAGGUUACAAGAACCAAUAGUCAUCUUCUACCACAAUUUAUACCCACUAACUUAUGCACUUAAUAUUUUAUUUUAAUAAUAAAAUGUAUAUACACCAACAAAAUGAAAUUAAAAAUAGUAUAUGGUGUUAUGAAUCAACCCCAGCCCAAUAGGUGUUCUUAUUGAGGACGGGAGUAUUGUUAUGAAUCAGCCCCAGCCCAAUAGGGAUACCAACAAGGAUAUCACACAAAUAGAUAUUGGGCCGAGUAAAAGCAAUCGGGCCAGGCCUUCACAAAUUGUUUGGGAUCCAGGCCCAUUUACACUUUGUUAAAAAGGGCAAAUGAGUUGGAAAGAAGGAUUAGGAAAAUUGUUAAAGAAAGAGUGUUUCCUCUCAUCUCCCUUCUUAGUCUAAGCUUCUCAUCCCCUUCCUAUGGGUUCUUCUGAUUUCUCAUCUCCUUGCUAUUAUCUAUCCUAGUUUCUUUAUCUUCUGUAAUUUCUAUUGUACUAGUACUAUUUCUAUGUUGCUGUAGUACACCAGUUAAUACAAUCAGUGAAAAGAGUUUGGCUACUGUUCUUUUGUGAUUAGUGUUUGUUACAUAGGUGCUUUCAUCCAGAGAACUCCAUCAUCAGCUAUGUUUCUACCUAGAUUCAAUGGCAAUGACAACGGCAACCCGAAGAACUGGAUUUUUCGGGCAGAAUUGUACUUCACAUACCUUGGUUUCGACGAGAAGGACUGGCUACCUCUUCCUUCCUUCUACUUUGAUGGUGAAGCUCUUUCCUGGUUCGAUUGGUUGUUUCGCAACAAGCUACUCGUCGAUUGGAACCAUUUCAAGGAUGCAUUUACUCAGCGAUUUCAACAACAAACCAACAUAAAUGUGUUGGGGCGUCUAGCUAAUUCCUCACAGGUUCAUUAUGACUACAUUAGUUCUGUCCCUAUAGUUUCACAAUCAGUUGUGGUGUCUCCUUUUUCUGCUUCCAGUCAUUUUUCAAGGUCCUCUGCCAUUGCAUCUGCCUGCAACGCUGAAAGCUCACAGGCAGACCAGGUGCUCGAUGAAAGUUCUCACGGCAUUAAAUUAAAUGAGGUAAGGUCAAUUGCACCCCGAGUAUCACUCCUAGUUCCUUUUGAUGGUCCAGAAGUUGUUAGGCCAAAUGAACAUCUCGAACGAGAUAUGUCAAUGAGGUAUGUAGAUGUUAACUCUCUUGCUAGUGGCUCUCCUAAAUUGAAAACUGAUUCGGAGACCUUCGUAGACUGGUAUCUUUCUGAUUUGUUCAUGGAACCUGUGGGUAAUGAAAAUCUGUAUCUCAAUAUCUCGACAAGUUCAAUACAUUCUGUUAAAAUACUUCCUGACAUUGAAAAUGGAAAAUCCACCGGGGCGUUCAAUGAUCAAAAUAUUUCAAGUCAAUUUCCAUUGGUUCCUGCUGCUAAUUUAUUUAUUAUAAUCAUGCCUGUGAUUGCAAUGGACCUUUGUGUAUGGGAUCCAGGAAUAUGUUUCGAGUUCAUGGCUCUAACAGAUUUUAUAGAGAACGCAGAGGAAUUAUUUUUGUUGGGCUGUCCUUGCAAGUUUUUCUUAAAUGUAGAUUCAAACUCUAUGAGUAGAGUGUGGGAUCCGGGACAAACAUGGUGUGUAUAUUGCUACUUCUCUAAUGGGUCAUGCGUUAUGUAUAACUACAUUGCAUUCACAUGUCCUUCAAUCGCAUAUGAACUAGUCGUUGAGGAAUAUUUUUAUGUAAACUAUGACGUUUUGGUGGACAACUUCAAGCAAACAUCAGUUUUGCGUCCCGAUGUCAGCACUAGUUUUGACAGGAAAAUUGAGAAUUGCUACCUAGUGCUUGAUAGAAAGAAUCAUAUUGCAUUACUUAGUUCUACUAUAGGGCUUCAGAACUUUGAUGCUCAUUUUAAUGUGCUCCCAAUUGGCAUCACUGGCCCCAUGAAAGUUUUUGGAAGACAUAGUGUUGCGCACGAAGUACUAUCUAAUUCUGCCCAUCACUGGUCCUUGAAGAUUUGUUUACAUGGACUUUUCCAUAAUUGGUUUGCUGGAAGAACUCAUUGGUUUGUUUUUGUUGUUAUUAAUGGUGAUGUUGUGGGAAGUUCAACUAGAAUUGUCCAUUUAAACAAAUGGGUUUCUGGGCAGCGGCUGAAGGAUAAUGUACAAAUGCCUAGGCAUAACAAUGUGUCAUGGAGGGGAAAUUCUGGGCUGCAAGAUGGAAAGUAUAUUGAUUUUAUUAAAUAUAAAUAUUUGGUGGUGGUCUACAAUGAUGCCAGAGAUGGACUACAACUUAGUUUGCCUUUAUUUCAUGUUCUUACUAUGCUAAGCUGGAGUGUGAGUGUGCAUCUUGCAAAUUAUAAAGUUGUUGAACUAAAUCAUGUCAGGGAUGUUUUCAAAGCAGCCUUCACUAUGAUGUCCAUUCUAAGGAUAUUGUGGCCUAGGAGACAUGUAAUUGGAGAAAAUGAUGAGUUUAUCGGCAAGAAGGCUGCUUAUGCAUUGAGCCAAGGCGUUGGCGUUAUAGCCUGUAUUGGAGAGCUGUUACAAGAAAGAGAAGCAGGAAAAACUUUUGAUCUCUGUUUCCAGCAAUUGAAGGCUUUUGCAGAUGCUAUACCAAGUUGGGAUAAUGUUGUCAUUGCGUAUGAGCCUGUCUGGGCUAUUGGAACUGUUGCCUCGCCUGAUUUUUCUUGUCACAACCAUGUCCAACAGGCAGUAAACUGUUUUGACACAAUAUACAAAGCUUGGUAUGAAGCUCUUGAUUUUUCUCACAAGGGACUUGCAGGUGUUUGCCAUCAAAUGCACUUCGUCCAUCUUAAAGUCAAUGUAACUGCACCUAGAUUACCAAUGCUUUCGUUGGCGAGAUCUCUUGACUUGAACCUUGAGGACAAGGUUCUUAUUGAGGACGGGAGUAUUGUUAUGAAUCAGCCCCAGCCCAAUAGGGAUACCAACAAGGAUAUCACACAAAUAGAUAUUGGGCCGAGUAAAAGCAAUCGGGCCAGGCCUUCACAAAUUGUUUGGGAUCCAGGCCCAUUUACACUUUGUUAAAAAGGGCAAAUGAGUUGGAAAGAAGGAUUAUGAAAAUUGUUAAAGAAAGAGUGUUUCCUCUCAUCUCCCUUCUUAGUCUAAGCUUCUCAUCCCCUUCCUAUGGGUUCUUCUGAUUUCUCAUCUCCUUGCUAUUAUCUAUCCUAGUUUCUUUAUCUUCUGUAAUUUCUAUUGUACUAGUACUAUUUCUAUGUUGCUGUAGUACACCAGUUAAUACAAUCAGUGAAAAGAGUUUGGCUACUGUUCUUUUGUGAUUAGUGUUUGUUACAUAUGGUACUCUCACUUGUCCACAAUUUAGUAUUUUCUGUUCCUCCUUCAAUAGCAAAGGAGUUCAUUUAUCUAACUAGUUUUGGUAUCUUAAGUUUUUGGUUUCUGGUUUCAGACAGAUUCGAAAACUACUUAUACUGCAAAAUUAGAGAUGCAACGCAUACCAAAAUAAUCCAAUCACUAGAAGUCUAAUUUACUGACUCAAAUUUAAUUACAUGCCUUCUUCACCUAACUGACUCUAGAUUUAUUGGAAAGGAUGACAGAAGGAAAUCUAGAAAUUUAUCUUCGUGAUCUAUUAAAAGAAUGCAAAUGUGAUGUAUAGCAGAGAGAAGCAUGGGAGAAUUUGAAAAGAGCAUUCCCGGAUAGCAAGAAUGGAAGCAGAGUUAUUAUUACCACGCCCAAAGAGGAUGUCGUUGAAAGAGCAGACGACAGAGGUUUUGUCCAUAAACUUUGUUUCUAAGCCAUGAAGAAAGUUGGGAUCUCUUUUGUAGGAAACUACUUGAUGUUCGAGCAAUGACCUCAGCAAUGGAGAGGCUAGCAAGCUAUGGAUAUGGUGGACAAGUGUAGAGGUUUACCUCUUGCAAUUGUUGUAUUAAGGAGGCUAGAAGAAUGGCAAAAGGUGCAGGACCGCCUUUGGCAGAACAUUAAAGACGACUCUAUUGAAUUCUCCUACAUACUAUCAUUGAGCUACAACCAUUUGUCAACCUUAGAUGGAAUAAGCACACCAUCACUAUCACAAUAAGAAAUAUCAAUCUUCUCAUACCUAUCAUGAAAAAAGGAUCACUGGAGGAGCUUAGAGCGAAAAAUCAUGAAAACCAUUCAUUCGAGAAAUCAUAUCAUCAUCAUCAUAUGUUAUUAAAAGUAGGAAGAAUCUAAGUCAAAAGUUGAAUUAUGAAAAAACCCCUUACCUAUUAAUUUUUUUUUUUAAAAUCAUUUUAAAAAAUUAUUUUUCCAUUUAAAAUCAACUUCAUAACUACACCUCUGCAUUUUCCUAACUUAUCAUCAUAUUAUCAUAAAUAAAUAAUAAAUAAUAAUAAUUAUUAAAAGUGGAAAGCUCCAAAAUUUGAAGUUGGGUCGUCAUUUUACCCCUAUAUUAAAUAAAAAAGUUAUAAAAUAUUUUAUUAAUUAAAUAUUAAAUAGUAAUAAUUUGUCAUUUUUUCUUCACAUAUAAAAAAAGAGAAAUAAAACUUCUAUGAAAUUAGUAAAUAGUAAGUAUAUAUAUAAGUGGAACCAAAAUAUUUUUAAAAUUGAAUUAUCAAAAUGUCCAUAAAAUAUUGAAUGACAUUAAUAUCCUUCAAUCAAAUAUUAUUCCUACAAUAAUAUUGUACAAGAAUAUAAAUAUACACUUAGUUCAAUGCAUUAGGCUAUUUAAUAUAUAUAUAUAUACACGAAAAUACCCAUUAAUAUUUUGCUACAAGUGAAUUUGGCCGCGCUACGCGCAGUGGAAUUACUCAUUUAACAAAUUCAUUAUUAAUUUGAAAAUUGAUUUACUACUAUAUAGUUUAUGAACUAUAAUGCUAAUUGUUUUGAAAAUUCUUUAAAUGUUAUAAACCAUAAAGAAUUGUUUAUAUAUACUUUAUAAAUUUUAAACAUGUUAGCUUUCAUAUAAAAGUGUUGCUUGUUACAACAAAAAUUAACAUUCUAUUUGGUAGAAGAAAGAAAGAAAACUAUAGGUAAAUAGAUGAGUCAAAGAUAUCAAAAUACUUGUGAAUGAUCGUGAUUUAUCGAGCAAGAACUCAUAUGUUAAACUAUUUUAAAUUUUUUAUUAUGCACUUUUCAAGUUCAUUAGUACUAUUCUCUUUCAGAUAGUAUAGUUACAGUAUAAUUUUAAAAAAAGGACCGACAUGCUCGUGUUUUCUUCACCUUUGGUUGUUUCUUUGUUCUUCACAGUUGUUUUAUAUUUCCCUUUUGUUUCAAUACACUCUAAAGAUAGAAAUGUUCUUCAAACUCCACAAAUAGAACAAACAUGUAAAAGAAUAACUUAUGAAACUUAUAGAAACAUUUGAGAAGAUGAUAUACUUGUAGUGCUCUCCACUUAAACGAAUAUCUGAGAUCCUAAUAAUUUUACGGAGAUCCUAAUAAUUUUACCUGAAAUCUUUCUGUUGCCUGCACAAAAAUGACAUAUCCGAUGAUGAUAUUUGGUUGCCGAUAAUGAUAUGUAACUGCAAAACAAUUAUGAUAAAACAUAAAAUAAAAAAAGAUAGUACACAUACUACAGAAGGAAAGCAAACAUGAUCGGUUAGGUAACGAUUGCUUCUAAUUUUGCUUCAAAUUCUGAGUUUUAAGUGCAUGUUAAAUCUGUUACAAUAGUCAUUUAAGGUGGAAUUAAUGAUGGUAUCUAAUUGCUACGUUUAUUUAUAUUUUAUUUAUGAGUCUUUUAAAUUCAUUUGUUAGUAGCAGAAAUGAAACAAAAACAAUACAGGAAAAGGUGAAAAAUGGUCGUUUCAUCUUUUAUUAAUAAAUGAGAUGACAUUUGUUUUUUCAAACAUAUUACACAAAUUAAAACUUAAUAAAAAGCUCAAAAAAAAAAAAAGCAUAUUACACAAAUUAAAACUUAAUAAAAAGCUCAAAAUAAAAUAAAAUAGAGAAAUAUUAUAUAUAUAUAUAUAUAUAUAUGAUAUGAUUUAUUUAACUCCUAUUUAUGUUAUAUAUAUAUAUUUCUAGAAAGUUAAGUCUAUCUUCUAAUAAAUAUAAAUAAUAAUAUAGCAAAUGAAUGAACUAGAUAAAUCAAAAGACAUGGAGUUGUGUGUAUUCAAUUUUUGUAAAUGUUUUAUCUCCCGAUUCCUAAUGCAAAAAAUAAAACAUUUCUUCGUAGUAAUAAACAUAUGGAGAUUUUGAAAAGUUGUUUGGUAUAUUCAAUGUGGAAUAAAUUAUUUUGAUCAAUUCAAUACAAUAUAUUCAUUUACUAAAUGUUAUAUAUUGUGUAUAUAUAGUGAAAAAUAACAAGACAAUUAUAUCAUCAAAUAUAUAUUAUGAUAAAUUAUGUAAAAGAUAAAAAUGAAUCAUUCAUUAUAUAUUUACAACUAGGUAAUUUACCCGUGCGAAAUAAUUUUUCUAAGCUUUUGAACAACCUUUCCAAUAAUGAUUGUUAUAAGAAAAAAAAUUAGUAGAUUUUAAAAAUAUUUCAAUAGAAAUUAAAUGAUUUAACAUUAUCACAUAUCUCAAGAAUUGUAAAUAUAUAAUGAAUGAUUAAAAAUAUCUUCAUAUCUAAUCAUUUUUAUUUUUUACAUAAUUUAUCUUAAUAUAUGUUUGAUAAUAUAAUUGUCUUGUUAAAACUGAGUGAUGUUUUUAUGUAGCGAUUAAACAUCAUUUUUUCUAUUUUUUGUACAUGAAAAAUAUAGAAUCUGAUAAUUUUAUUGUUAGAAUAUAACUUCUAGUGAAAAAAAUUAUGUGAAAGUUUUCGAUAAUCAAUAUUAGUUAUAAAUAAGUUAAGACCGUUGAAAUUGUACACCACAACAACAUAAAUAAUUUUUUUUUAGAGACAAUCUACUUGUCUGAGGUCAAACGUUCACCACUUUUCGUUAUUGUUACUUUGUUACUCUAAAAAAAUUAUAGAAGGAGAAAAAUAAAAUUGAAACAACAGCAAAAUAAUAUUGUUGACCCUUUUAAAAAUUCAUUCUUCAUUAAUUGCUUCUCUGAAGACCCUUCUAGAUGCUUAAUCAAUGCAACUUUACGAUUUUUUCAGAAAUAUGUAUGUAUAAUUGUUGCAUUAUGAAAGUACAAGUAGAUCAAAAUGUUGGAUUCUACUCAUGUUAAAGAAAUAUUCUCGAACAUUAAAAAACUAAAAAUGAAUCUAACCUAGAUAACUCAAACACUCAACAAUGACUUGGGACAUGAAGGACAACAAAUCUAUGUUAAUAGACAUAUCUUUUGUAGUUUAAGACAUUACUUUUAUUUAGAGCAGGUUUUGUUUCAUAUCCUUCAAAUUAAGCUUGCCGAAAAUAGUCAUAACUCACACCAAAAAUAUUUAGAAGAGCCGAAUGAGAAAGAAAAAAAGAAAGACAUUAAAAGGGCGAAAGCUUUUUCCAAGUGAUCAGAUCAUAUACAUACCAAACGAAAAACAAUCAAUACAAUUUUAAGGAGACAACAAAACAGCGAGAAAAAACUUACAUUAAAAGGAGUAAACUAUGAGAUACCCAAUGAUGAUAACAAAUCAUUCUAACCAAAAAAGUUCUCAUGUUUUGAAAUAACAUACCUCAAAAAAUUGACUAACACUUCAAUCAACUUUCAAUCCUUAAAGUACUCAUAAUAUCCACAUAUAAAAUUUAGUAAAAAUAGAUAACAACAACAUAAAAACCAAAAAAUAUGGGCAUGCAAAGUUAUUAACUCUCAAAGGAUUUUCUAAAGAACACAAAAUCUCAUCCUUGUAUGUGAAGGAAUGUCGUUAUUGAUGAAGAAAUUAGAGAUUUGUAAGAGCUUUUUUAUUGUACCUUCAACAAUUCCAAUAGAGAAACCUUGCUUGAAUACUCAAUUAACGUUUGUUAUUUACCUCAAAAAAUUGACUAACACUUCAAUCAACUUUCAAUCCUUAGAAUACUCAUAAUAUCCACAUAUAAAAUUUAGUAAAAAUAGAUUACAACAACAUAAAAACCAAAAAAUAUGGGUAUGCAAAGUUAUUAACUCUCAAAGGAUUUUCUAAAGAACACAAAAUCUCAUCCUUGUAUGUGAAGGAAUGGCGUUAUUGAUGAAGAAAUUAGAGAUUUGUAAGGGCAUUUUUUAUUGUACCUUCAACAAUUUCAGUAGAGAAAACUUGCUUGAAUACUCAAUUAACGUUUGUUAUUUAAUUUGUACUAACAAAUACUUAUAACAAUAAUUUUGCAGAAACAUAAACAACAAAGUUUAAAGCAUGUACUCAAAAAUAACAAUUAAUAAUAUAAACAUAAAUUAAUGACCGUAAAAAACAUAUCAGGAUAUGUAACAAUAGAAUGAAACAGAAUGGAAAAAAUUGAGUCCACUGAAUGCACAGUCCCCCUUAAGGAAAUUAUUCCCCUCUAGUACCCGAGGUUUAAAGGAAUAGAUCCUCUCAGGAUAGAAUAAUUCUAUUCACCAUUGUAUUGAUACAAAAACAAUGGUGUCAGUGAGUCAUUCAACAGGAGCAAAAUACACAAAUAUUUAAUUGUUUAGAAGAAGAAGAAAUUCAAAAUUUUUGUUGUUUAAAAUGAGAGGAAAUUCCUCUAUUUAUAGACAACGAAGGGUAGUGUGAACAAAUGUAUAUUGUGUCUUAUCGAAAUUGUCACAACUCUUUGGAAAAGUUACAAAAGGUCACAACCUUUAUAAAAGUCAUAAUUUUUCAUAAAAGUUGCAAAAUGACUAAAAUAUCCAUAGAAAGAUAUUAGAUAUUUUUAUCGUUUUAAAAAUUAAUUAACUACAUAUUUUUUUAUAUUUUCCUUUUUUUUUUGUAUUUAUUUUCAUUGCACUUAAUAUCAUACGAACUAAAUUUUUUUCUCUUCUUUAUUUAUUAUUUUUCUCCUUUAUUUAUUUUAAAUUCAUUUUCAUGACUCAUGUUUAAUUAUCUAUUAGAUUGUUACUCUUAAUAUUUAUAACUCUUAUUCUUUUCAUAUUCAUAACUUCCAAUUAUUAAGAGAUGCUACCUAUAAAAGUUCCUAAAUACAUUAUUUGUGUUAUAGUCUUUUCUUCAUUCAACCUCAUUUGUUUUAUCCUUUGAGCUUCCAAUUGUAAUUAGUAUUAAUAAGUAUCUAUUACUCAUCUUUCUUAUCUUGCUUGCACUAUAUAAAGGUGUACAAAUGAAUAGUAAAUUAUGAUUCUCUUCUUUCUAUAAUUUUUUUUAUUGUUUUGCAUUUUCCUCAAUACUAUGUGGACAAGUAAAUUUAUUUUCUUUUGUGUUUAAGAGCUUAUAUUUACAAGGUAACAUGUAAUUAAUAUUAUUAUUUACUAUUUGAUUUAUGUUUUAGUUUAACUUGGUGAAGAAGAUUCUUGAAUUUUGAUUGAUUGUAGAAGAAGGUGUUGAUAAGAACUCGGAAUUUAUGUACUGAUUUUGUAUUUUCAUCCAUUUGUAUUAUUAUGAUCAAAGUCUUAAGAAGGGUGUGUAUGUUGUAUUUUUUCUUUUAUGUUUUUAUUUGUUUUUCUCAUUAUUAGACUUCUUUAAUUUGAUUUUCUAUGAAUUUUCGAAUGUCGUAAUUCUGUAAUUUUAAUCAUUUUAUCGAUCUAUAAAAAAUUACAUGGGAUAAACAUGCAAAUCACGUAUCCAGAAACUUGUUUGAUAUAAGAAUAUGUAAGACUCAGCAUACUAUGAGACAUGAGUGCUUAUAUGAAUAGAUUCAUAUUAGGAGGCUGAUAUUCAUAGCCUUAUAGAGUAAGAUAAAGAUCAAUGGGCUAAAGUUUCUGCCUCUUAUUCUGGGAAGUGAACAUAGAUAUGAAUUUAUGAUCUGAAGCGUUUGAGCAUAGGUCAUGGACAUAAUGCCAAUAUGUGAGAAAUCAACAAGGUGUUGUAACGAGUUAACUUUGAGGAAUACGCUAGACUAUGAAUGGAUUGAUAUACCACCAUAACUUUUUCUGAACACAUCAUUAUAUGAUUAUCAACGCUUGACUUGGUUCCUUACCUUAUCAUCUCCCCCUUAGGUCAGAAGCUGACACCCUAAGGCUAUGGACCUAUUACAUAUUCUCUAUACUAGUCUAUAUUCACUUUACUCUAACAUUCGAAAAAAUGCUAAUCACAUGUCUAUUAAACUCUCCAUGCGCAGGUACUAAGAUUCCUUUUAGGGCUUCUUUCUGAGCUGCUUCUCUUAACUUAUUCUUGCUUCUAUAGAAGUCUUUUGAUAAUCGUUACCCGCAUUGGAUUAUAAUUUUAUCUAACUCUUAAUUAAUAGUCUGACGUCUCCUUCUUAGCCUACUAAUACCGUCCUUCUAAGUUCAUAUCUAUCUAACUAGAGAAAACUUGAAUUGUAUUUAAUUAAGAGGCUCGUCAUUGUCUAUGUAUGAUUCUUUCGACCAAACUCUUAAGGGUAAUAAAGAAUGCUUGCAUCAGUCUACUCCACAUUGACAGCUCAAAUAUAUUAUCUAGGCACACAUAGAAAAUCAUAAACUUAAUUAAAGUCUCAUCUAACUAUAUAUGAUCUUGGGUACACAUCUUAGUGCUCUUGUUUAUCCAAUGACGUAGCCACACUUCAUUACUCUCGUCUAAGGGUCAUAAUACCACACUUGUACCACUCACAUUUAAUGCAAAUUAACACCUUAAUUCCUCACUUACUCUAUGUCAAAAGCCUACUAGAUCAAAUCUCAAAACUAACAUCAUUACCCCCCAUAUUGCCAUUCUUUUUAUCACUAUACUCAUCUCAAAUUCAAGCUUAGUGUCCAGUACUAAACAUGGAUAUCAAUGUCAUUGUUCACAUACUAUACUAACUUAUGACUACUGGAUAAAAUUAAGACACAGUCGCCGACUAAGACCUCAUGACAAGUAAUCAAUCUUUAUCCCCUAGUCUACCUAGUUACAGUUUAUCGCCACAUCCCUUUCACAACCUAAGUACUAUUUACCCCCUUCACUAUACAUUAUUGCCUAAUUAGUUCCAUAAUCCUAUUAAUAUCAUGAGGCUCUCCUUUCAAAAUCAUAAGUCUAGCUUAGAUCUAUUUCCUCAUGACUAUUUGUCCUUCAAACAUAUACUUGGUCUUCGCUAUCACAAUUACAUCAAAUUAAAAUUUAAAAUUUUGACUGCAAAAAAAGCGAAAGAAGCAAUCCAUAGAAAGAUUUGACGCUCUGAAACUUCAAGUUAACCUUCAUGGCUGAAUUCAAAUUAAUUUGUGCUAACUUAUUGAAUAUUUUUUUUCUUCUCUUCAAUGUUACAAAACACAUCUUCAAAAAAUUGAGAAGCCAUGCUCAUCAUUUUUUCCUAUAGAUUCCCCAAACGAGGAAACUUAAAAAGAACAGAAACGUAUCUAUUAUUAAAAGAUUAAAUUUGAACAUAAUUAAUUUAAAAUUUCUUAUUUUACCAUUAAUAAUAUAAUUUUAUACCACAUUGAUAUCACGAAAAUUUAAAAAUCCCAAAUCCCAAAUAUCUUUGGUUUAAAUGUGGCACCUAGCCAAACAUGUUUUUAUAAAUAAUCUUCAUUUAUUUUUGAAAGGUAUAAAAAUCGGCCAAAACUAUGUAGCCCAAGUAAAUGAACGGUAGUUAAAAAAAAAAAAAAAAGGUCAUUCGCACAAAUGCCAAUUUGAUGUGACAUUUUGAUAUUUUUUUCCUCUCAAAUGCAUUGUCUUUAAUUUUAUUCCUAUUGCUUAUUUAAUGAAAAUUUUAUUGGCUAAAAUACCCUUAAAUUUAACUAGACAGAACAUUUUACAUAAUGUUUGUAUACAUUGGAGCAUAAAUUUAUCAUGGGAAUAUUUUUUUAUUUGUUUUUUCGCUGUCAGAGAGAAUAUAUACUUUUCUUUGUUUUUUUUGCCGUCAGAGAGAAUAUAUACUUUUCUUUAUCAUUACCCUCAACUUUAUCAUCUUUCUACUUUAAGACUUUAACAAUAUUCCCAUGAUAACAAUAUUCCUUUACACUGAAUUUUUGAAGCUUUAAAUACUGAAUUCCAUGACAACAAUAUUUAUCUCUUAUCAAACUCUCAAUCUACUAAUUUCCAUACACACUUUACCUUUUACAAAAAAAAUAUUAAUUAAUUUCCAUAUUCCUAAAGAUGGCUGAUGCCGUUGUGUCAUUUGCAGUUCAAAAAUUGGGUGAUUUCCUCAUUCAGGAAGUUAACCUACGUUUAAGUCUAAGAGAGGAUAUGAAGUGGAUGAGAACUGAGCUUCUCUUCAUGCAGUCUUUCCUCAAAGAUACAGAACUAAAACAAUAUGGAGAUCAUACAAUUCAACAAUGGGUAACUGAGAUGAACUCUAUUGCUAAUGACGCUGUUGCUAUACUCGAGACUUACAGUUUAGAGGCUGGUAAAGGUGCUAGUCGUCUCAAGGCGUGCGCUUGCAUAUGUAGGAAGGAGAAGAAAUUCUACAAUGUCGCCAAGGAGAUUCAAUCACUCAAGCAACGAAUCAUGGAUAUCUCUCGUAAAAGAGAUACUUAUAGUAUUACAAAUAUCAAUAGUAAUGCUGGAGAAGGAACAAGUAAUCAGGUUACAACACUGAGGAGAACUACCUCAUAUGUGGAUGACCAGGAUUACAUUUUUGUUGGACUUCAGGAUGUUGUAGAAUCAUUGCUAGCUGAACUUCUCAAAGCAGAGCCUCGUCGAAACGUCCUCUCCAUUCAUGGGAUGGGUGGAUUGGGCAAGACCACUCUUGCCAGAAACCUCUACAACAGUCCUAAUAUAGUCUCAAGCUUCCCUACUCGCACUUGGAUAUGUGUUUCUCAAGAGUACAACACAAUGGAUCUUUUUAAGACUAUCAUAAAAUCCAUCCAAGGUUGCGCCAAGGAAACUCUAGAUUUGUUGGAAAAGAUGGCAGAAACAGAUCUAGAAAAUCACCUUCGUGAUCUAUUAGAAGGAUGCAAAUACCUUGUGGUGGUUGAUGAUGUGUGGCAGAAAGAAGCAUGGGAGAGUUUGAAAAGAGCAUUUCCGGAUAGAAAUAAUGGCAGCAGAGUUAUUAUCACCACGCGCAACCAGGAUGUCGCUGAAAGAGCAAACAACAGAGGUUUUGUCCAUAAACUUCGUUUCCUAAAACAAGAAGAAAGUUGGGAUCUCUUUUGUAGGAAACUACUUGAUGUUCGAGCAAUGGUUCCAGCAAUGGAAAGUCUAGCUAAGGAUAUGGUGGAAAAAUGUAGAGGCUUACCUCUUGCAAUUGUUGUAUUGAGUGGACUACUUUCGCAUAGAUGGGGGCUAGACAAAUGGCAAAACGUGAAAGACUGCCUUUGGAAGGACAUUGAAGAAGACUCUAUUGAAAUCUCCUACAUACUAUCAUUAAGCUUCAACGAUUUGUCAGCUGCGCUCAAGAAGUGUUUUCUCUACUUUGGUGUUUUUCCAGAAGAUCAAGUGAUCGAUGCUGACGACAUAAUGCGGUUGUGGAUGACAGAGGGUUUCAUCAUACCAAGAGGAGAAGAAAGAAUGGAGGAUGUCGCUGAAGGCUUCUUGAAUGAGCUGAUAAGACGAAGCUUGGUUCAAGUAGCUCAAACAUUUUGGGAAAAAGUUACUGUAUGUAGGGUUCAUGAUUUACUUCGUGAUCUUGCCAUACAAAAGGCAUUGGAGGUAAACUUCUUUGACAUUUAUGAUCCAAGAAAGAACUUGAAAUCCACUUCAUGUAUAAGACAUGCCAUUCAUAGUGAAGGAGAAAGGUACCUCUCAUCACUUGAUCUUUCUAACUCGAAGUUGAGGUCAAUUAUGUUCUUUGAUCCACAUAUUUGUAAUGUGUUCCAACAUAUAGAUGUGUUCCGACAUAUAUAUGUGUUGUACUUGGAUAUUGAUUAUGGUAAAGUUAUACCUGAUGCCAUAGGGAGUUUGUACAACCUCAAGUUGUUACGCUUGAGUGUUGUCAGUAAAAUUCCCUCCUCCAUCGGCAACCUCAAGAAUCUACAGACACUUGUUGUUGUCAAUAUGGACAGACGCUUUUGCCAACUACCCCCCGAAACAGCUGACCUAAUAAAUUUAAGACAUUUAGUUGUUCCAUAUUCUAUACCUCUGGCAGGUAUAAGCAAACUCACUAGUCUUCAAGUUCUUCGCCUUGAUUGUGAUCAGUGGAAAGAAGUUGACCCAGUUGAUUUAGUCAAUCUUCGAGAAUUAGAGAUGCGUAAUAUAUACAAAUCUUACUCCCUAAACAACAUUAGCAGCUUGAAAAACCUUAACACUCUCAAAUUGUGUAUUUUGCUUGGUCCACAAUCUACAUAUCCAUUCCCAUCCCUUGAAUUUGUUAAUAGUUGUGAAAAGCUCCAGAAAUUGUUGUUAGGUGGGAGAUUAGAGAAACUGCCUGUGUUUCCAGAUUCCAUCACAAUGAUAUUUCUUUGGGAGUCAAGACUGACAAAAGAUCCGAUGCCUAUUUUGGGAAUGUUACCAAACCUAAGGAAUCUCGAAUUAGAAGCAGCUUAUGAAGGAGAAGAAAUAAUGUGCAGUGAUUACAGCUUCAGUCAACUAGAGCUCCUUCAUCUUUAUGGUCUUGACAACUUAGAAAGAUGGCAUUUAGGCACAAAUGCCAUGCCUCUCAUUAAAGAUCUUGUUAUCCAUCAUUGUCCAAAGCUGAGGGAGAUUCCAGAGAGAAUGAAAGACGUGAAGCAUUUCAAACGUAUAUGAAGUCUUAUAUGAUAAUAGGAAAGGUAAAUAUACAAACACAUCCCAAUCCUUCAUUUUUUUUCUUUUUUAUAUAAAUAAUAAUAUUUUUGUUAAAACAGGAGAUGAAGACAUUCAAGUUGAUGAAGAUGGGUUGUCCAAGCAUCAAUCAAGCUUCCGUCACUUUACUGAUUUUGUGAUUCUAGGCAAAAAUGAGGAUUUUUUUGGUUUUUGGCUUCUUUUUUUUUUUUUAGUGUGUGGAAUUGGUUGGAAGAGAUUUUUUUUUUGGGGGAAGUGGGGGUGGNNNNNNNNNNNNNNNNNNNNNNNNNNNNNNNNNNNNNNNNNNNNNNNNNNNNNNNNNNNNNNNNNNNNNNNNNNNNNNNNNNNNNNNNNNNNNNNNNNNNGGGAUCACCCCCGACGAAAAAUCCACGAUGAUCUCCUCGAUCUUCUCUUCUUCUUCUCCUUCUUCUCUUCUUCUUCUCUUCUUCUUCUCCUUCUUCUCUNNNNUCCUCGAUUUCCUCUUCUUCUCUUCUUCUUCUCUUCUUCUUCUCAAGCCCUAGCCUUCACUCUCUUAAAAUGGAACAAAAUGAUCCAAGUAUCAGCCUUACUCAACAAUAUAACCUCAAAAGAAAUAGCCAGGGAAAAGACCAAAAUGCCCUUAAUUUUCCGGAGAGAUUUCCCUGCCAACAGCCCAACUUCUAAAGGGCACAACUCGCUCAUACGAACUCGGAAUUGAGCAAACUCGGCGGUAUUGGAAAUAUCAUUCCACAAGCUUCACAACCAUAACUAGAACUACUCCUAACUCAUCCUGAGAUGGAAGUUAUGACUGCUCAAAGUUGGCCAAAAAUUCAUUUUUUUCACACUUAGCCAAAUUUCCAAAAUUUUAAAUUCUUUCCAAAAAUGACUAUUUUUGAUUUUUAAGCCGCUUCAUAGUUAUUUCAUCUUACCGGAUGUUACAAUAUCUCCCCCUUGGGAACAUUCGUCCUCGAAUGAGGUUACUCUUACAAGGCUAAGGGUGCAACAACAACUCAAACACCCAACAAGCAACUAUACAAACACAACAACAACCACAACAUGCUCAUUAUAAUUAAAAGAGCACUAAAAAGGAAAUUAAUACCUUAAUCUGCAUUUCCUUCGGAUUCAAAGAGAUGUGGAUAUCUCUUCUUCAUGUCUUCUUCGGCUUUCCCCAAAGUGGCUUCCUCAACAAAUUGGUUCCUCCAUAGGACCUUGACUGAGGCUACUUCUUUCGUUCUCAACCUACGAACUUGACGAUCUAAAAUCUGAACAGGAACCUCCUCAUAAGAUAAGUUAUCCUUGAUCUUAAAACUUUCAGUCGGUAGGAUAAAAUGAAGGAUCGCCUAUGCACUUCUUCAACAUGGAGAUGUGAAAUAUUGGAUGAACCGCUUCUAGUUCCUGUACUUUGGUAUUUGUCAACUGCGCUCAAGCAGUGUUUCCUGUACUUUGGUAUUUUUCCAGAAUAUCACGUGGUCCAUUUGAUCACAUAUUAUGGUUGUGGAUGGCUGAAGGAUUUGUACCAACAGGAAAAGAAAUAAUGGAGGAUGUUGUUGAAGGCUUCUUCAAUGAGUUGAUAAGACGAAGCUUGAUACAAGUGGUACACACAUUUUGGGAAAAAGUUGGUAAAUGUAGGAUUCAUGAUCUGCUUCACGAUCUUGCCGUACAAAAAGCAUUGGAGGUAAACUUUUUUGACAUUUAUGAUCCAAGAAAGCACUCCAUAUCCUCCUUGUGUCUUAAACAUGCCAUUCAUAGUCAAGGAAAAAGGUAUCUCUCACUCAAUCUUUCUAACUUGAAGGUUAGGUCACUUAUGUUCCUUGAUACGGAUAUUUUAAAGAUGGGUCUUAUAAAGUUCCAUAAUGUGUUCCAACAUCUAUAUGUGUUGUACUUGGAGAUUCAUGUUGACAAUAUGUGUAUACUGUAUAGUACCUGAUGCCAUAGGAGGUUUGUACCACCUCAAGUUCUUAAGAUUGAGAGGUAUCCAUGAUCUUCCCUCUUCCAUUGGCAAGCUCAAGAAUUUAUAGACACUUCUUGUCAAUGACUAUGGAUACUUUUGCAACUACCCCGCGAGACAGCUGACCUGAUAAAUCUAAGACAUUUAGUUGCUUCGUAUUCAAAACCUCUGAAACGUAUAAGCAAACUCACUAGUCUUCAAGUUCUUAAAGGCAUCCAUUGUGAUCAGUGGAAAGAUGUUGACCCUGUUGAUUUAGUCAAUCUUCGAGAAUUAAGCAUGCAUGAGAUUACCAAAACUUACUCACUAAACAACAUUAGCAGCUUGAAAAACCUUAGCACUCUAAAAUUGUGCUGUGUAGCUUAUGUAUCAUUCCCAAACCUUGAAUAUCUUAGUUCUUGUCAAAACCUUCAGAAAUUGUGGUUGGAGGGGCAAAUAGAAAAACUGCCUCUCUCAUAGCAGUUUCUGAAUUCCAUCGCCAUGAUGGUCCUUCGGUACUCAGAACUCAUGGAAGAUCCCAUGUCUACUCUAGGGAUGCUCCCAAAUCUAAGGAAUCUCGAUUUUGUUUAGAGCUUACGGAGGAAAAGAAAUUACCUGCAGUGAUAACAGCUUCAGCCAACUGGAGAUCCUUCGUCUUGAUUGUCUUGAGAACUUAGAAAGAUGGGUUUUAGCCAGAAGUGGCAUGCCUCUGAUUAAAGGUCUUGGUAUCCAGCGUUGUCCAAAGCUACAUGAGAUUCCUGAUAGAAUCAAAGACGUGGAGAGAACUCCUUUUCAAUGAAGCUUUUCAAGCAUAUAUGAUGUCCUAUUUCAGCUCUUUCAUAAUCGUAGAGGUAAUAAAUCCCAAUCCCCAAUGAUCAUUUCUUAAAUUCCUUUUAAUUACUCACUCUGCCGCAGAUUUGUUAGUAUAAUGUUUAAUUUUUAUACUAUGACAGUACAAUUUUUUUUACAUUAUCACCAUACUAAAAGAAGUCAACUAUAAACAAUUGUCUAUUAGUAAAUCACUUAUGCAUGAGAUUUUGUCUUGUAUCACAAAUUCACAACAACAACAUACCCGGUACUGUAUUCCCACAGAACGAGGUCUGGUGAGGGUAGAGUGUACACAAACCUUACCUCCACCUCAAAGAUGAGGUAGAGAGAUUAUUUCCAAUAAACUCUCAGCUCAAGAUAAAAACAGACUAGAAAAAGACGUAAUGGAAGUAGAAGAGACAAUAGGUAGUAACAAAACAACAGAUGAAAGCAAAACAGUACUACAACCAAAUAAUAUUACAAUCGAACUACACGAAACAAUAGAUAUCAAUAAAAUGAUUUUCUUCAUGCCAAAAACACACUGAAUUGUAUUGGUAAUCUAUUAUUUGGUCAACACUUGAUAUUGUCCUGAUCAUUAUGAUUAAUCAUCAAUUUAGGUUAUUGAUAAAUCUUUUGUUCUUUAUUGAAUACUAUUCCUCAUAUUAAAUAGUGUCUUACAAUUUUGGUUGAAUAGGAGAAGCAGCAGCUGGCAGGUGUGGAACUUUUUGCCAAGCAUUUCAAGAGAUUUACAUGGAGCAAGUCGGAUUUUAGAAAUAAUAAGCAUGUUUCUUUUGUUUUGGCUUUAGGUCAUGUGUUUAAAUUACAACUGUGACAUUCAAGAUUUUUUUUUUAAAAAUCUCCUUGUAUAUAUUUCUUGUUCCGCCACUGCCCACAUUUUGUUUCUUGUCAUAACUAAGUAUUAAAUAAGUAUGAGCUUUUAAGUUCGAGAUUCAGAAAUGAACUUUUUGUAAUUAUUAUCCAAGAAUAUUAUGGUAUAAUAGAUCUUUAUAGAAUUAUAGUCCACAAACAUAUAAUAACUCAAAACAGUGAUGACUAGCAGUGAUGCUUGUGGAAGUCAAUUAAGGAUGGUGUUGACGAAUGGUGGGGUGGGAUUAGUAGCUAGUGGUGAUGGUGUUGGCAGUGGAGGUUGAUGGUGGCCGUUGAUAGUUAAGUUGGAUAAUAGUGAUAAUUAAUGGUAAUGGGGACAAUGAUAGUGAUUGUCAAUAUAUAAUGUCGUGAUUAGUGGUUGUUGUAGACUUGUAGUACUGAUGGUUGGUGAAGAAGAUUAUAAAUGAUAGCUAGUGAGGUGAAGGAGCAUCCAAGUGGUAAGCUUGGCCCCUGGAAGCAGAUUUGGAGGAACAAGGUGCCACCAAGGUAAAGUGUUUCUCCGGGUUGGUUGCCAGAAGAGCAUGCUCCACUCAUGAGAAAUUGAAAAGGAGGGGUUUCUAUAUUGCCUCUUGGUGCUCUCUCUGUAAUGAGACUGAGGAAACCAACAACCAUUUGUUCCUCCAUUGCAAAGUGACAACACAAUUUUGGAACCUUUUUUUGGGACCAACACAUACAAAAUGGAUUAUGCCUGAGCAUACAGCAGAUCUACUUAGUUGCUGGAUCAGCAGAGGGGGGAGAAAAUCUAAGAAAAAGUGGUGGAGUAUAAUACCAUCAUGCAUCUGGUGGUGUAUUUGGAAAGAAAGAAAUAGCAGAUGCUAUGAUAACAAAGCUAAUCUAAUAGAGAAAGUCAAAUGGAACUGCUUGACUACUUUUUAUUUUUGGUGUAAAGAGGAAGGGAUAGACCACUCUUGCGAGAAGCCUAUACAUCAGUCCUAAUAUAGUCAAUAGAUUCCAUACAUGAGCUUGGAUAUGUGUUUCUCAAGAGUACAACACCAUGGAUCUCCUUAGGAAUAACAUAAAAUCCAUCAAAGGUUGCACCAAGGAAAAAGGAAACUCUAAAUUUGUUGGAAAAGAUGACGGAAAGAGAUCUAGAAAUUUACCUUCGUGAUCUUUUAAAAGAACCCAAAUACCUUGUGGUGGUCGAUGAUUUAUGGCAAAGAGAAGCAUGGGAAAGUCUAAAACGAGCAUUUCCGGACAGCAAGAAUGGCAGCAGAGUUGUUAUUACCACGCGCAAAGAAGAUGUCGCUGAAAGAGCAGAUAACAAAGGUUUUGUCUAUAGACUUUGUUUCCUGAGCCAAGAAGAAAGUUGGGAUCUCUUUUGUAGGAAACUACUAGAUGUUCAGGCAAUGGUCUCAGCAAUGGAAAGGUUAGCUAAGGAUAUGGUGGACAGGUGUGGAGGUUUACCUCUUGCAAUUGUUGUAUUAAGUGGACUACUUUCACAUAAAAAGGGGUUCGAAGAAUGGCAAAAGGUGAAGGUCCACCUUUGGCAGCACAUUAAAGACGACUCUAUUGAAAUCUCCUACAUACUAUCAUUGAGCUACAAUGAUUUGUCAACUGCGCUCAAGCAGUGUUUUCUGUACUUU